UUUUUUUUUUUUUUUUUUAAUGAUUUAGCUUAAGAUUAAUGAAGAAAAUAAAAUCAAAGAUUGUUUAAUCUAUUUAAAAAUUUUCUCAUCUAAUUUUAAAACUUAAACCUAAAUUAGUCAUAAACAAUGUCAAGAGUUGGUUGUAUAGCUUAUUCCUGUCAGUUGAAGUUAAGCUUUAACGGUCCUUGAUAUAUUUUGUCAUUUAAAAGCAUGACAUUAGUUUAUAGUGGAUCGAGUAGGAAUGGAGUAUAAUGGUUUAUUAUAUAAGGUGUGAAAUAGUUUGAGGAAGGAAAUAGAUAAAAAAAAGUUGGUGUGAGGAAGGGGAAGGACACGAAUUUAGGUUUAUGUUGUUGUGGUUCCCUUAGAAGCCCAAAAUGAUGUGACAACUCUUCUUCCUUCCUAUUCCUAUACUCUCUCUAUUACCCCAUCAAAUCAAAUCUUUGCCUCCUCAAAACCCCUAAAACCCCUAAAACCCCUAAAACCCCUAAAACCCCUAAAACCCCUAAAACCCCUUCCCCUUACCUUUUAGCAUUAUUAUUCACUCUCUCCUUUUCUCAAAUAAACAAACAAAUAACUUGGUUUCUCAACUUUACCACGUGUACCUCUCUCAUUCGCCCAUCCUAUCUGUCUCCCACACCCACAUUUCCCUUUCCUACGUGGCAUAUCCCACCUCACGCCUACCUCAUCACUCAUCACUCAUCACUCAUCCCCCCUUCCUUUUUCUUUAUUUCUAUUUACCUUUUUCUUUCCCUAACUUUACGAUUAUACAUAAUUUAGCUUUUAAUUUUGAUCUUUAUUAUCGUCUAAAAUGUUGAAUUUUCUGUCCUUUUCUAACAAAUUGACUACAUUCACAUCAUAUUUAUUAUAUUAAUAUGACUAUAUGUGUCUCUGAAUGGGUGAUUAUUAAUUUAAUUUAAAUAAUUAAUCAAUAAUGUGAUUUUACUUAUUAUUAUUUAAAUGGUCGGUUAAAUAAAUGUUUUUUUAAAAGAUAGUGUACAUAAGAAACGAUAAUAAAUUUUAAGAUUUUAUAUGCAGCCAUUAAACUUUAAAAUAUGAAAAAUGGAAACUUGUGGUUAUGUCUAUGUCAAUCAUCUAGUAUAUUAUAUCGAACUCAAUAGAUUUUUUUUUGUAAUAAAUGAAUUAUUAAUGGAUGGAAGGAAAUGGAAGUUUAGAAAUUAGAAUAGAGUGUAAAAUUUGUUGGUUUGGAACUAUGAAAUAAUUUUAAUUUAAUUUAAUCAUGAAAAGAUGUAAUAUUGCAUUGCAAUUGCAACCACUCAUUGCAUUGCAUUCCUUCAUUUGAUAUGACAAUUUAUUGAAACUAUCAUAACUUUUUUCCUCAAAAAUAAUUUAGAGAUUAAUAUUUCUGUCACCUUUCCACGUUAUUAUAUUUUUCGUUUCUUUCUUCCAACUUUCAUUAUUAAUAUAUAUAAACAAGUCUAGAGGUUUCUAUUGUAUUUGAUAUUUAAAGUGUUUAUAGAAACAAACAUAUUAAAUAAAAUAUAUAAUUUUUUAUAGGAAGAACUAGACCUAAAACCACAUUUAAAAAAUGAUAUGGAAAAGUACUUAUACUAUGAUUUCAUUAAUGAGAUCCGAUUUCGUAUUUUAAAUUUAAAUUUCAUUGUUCCAACUUGUACAUGUAAGAAUAUGAAUGAAAAUAUAAAAUGUAAUACCAACAUUACAACCAAAUAUAAACACAAAAAAGAAAAGAAAAGAAAGGAGAGGGAAUGAUAUACAUGGAUUUACAAUACACCCACCACGUGGACCAAUAAAAAGAAAAAAGGGUAAAAGGGUAAAAGGGUAAAAUGGUAAAAGAAAAAGUAAAAAUAGGUCCCGAAGGGCCCACUAAUUUCAUAAUAAAAAUCCAAUGGUUGUUCAUUUUCAUUCAUGCAUGGGGAUCAUAAAAUCGCAGCAUCGAAUAAUUCAUAAAUUAUUGACUUUAAACACUUUUCCUAUCAUUACUUAGACCUCCCUCCCUCUUAUUUCCCCAUCUUACCUCCCAAAAUUCGUAGAUAUUGUAUUUUGUAAUCCCUUUCUUUUUUAAUAAACAAGUGAAAGAAAAAAGAAAAAAAAAUAAUCAUCUUCUUCUUUUCUGAGAUCACCCUCCUCCAUGCAAUCUCAACCCUUCAAUUUAAAUGGUCAACGACAAAGAGAAUGGCGACCCAACAAAAAGAGAGCGAGAAAUAAAGACCACAGAUUUUUAAAAAGUAAAAAAGAAAAAAUAAUAACAACAAUAAAAUCAAAUCUCUCUCCCUCUCUCUCUAUCUCUCUCUAUCUCUCUAUCUCCCCCCCCCCUAUAAGAAAAUGACACGAAGUAGGUCUUAUCUACUGGUGCUGUACAUCGGGGGCAGAGGAGCGUAUCCUCUUAGAGGGCGGCUCGUGGCUGGUGGAGCCAGGAUUGUCACAGCUAGCGCAAGCAGCCGCGUCGAGAACCCCGACUGGACUCGGUGGAGCCGGUUCCUCUUCUCCUAUCCUCCGCUGUUUUCGGAGCUCCGCUGUACACGUGUCAAUCACGUACUCCUCCAUUAGUUGUUGACAGCUUUUCACAUUUUCCUAUUCCCAAUAAACAAAUAUAUAUAUAUAUAUAUAUACCAAAAUUAAAUCAGUAGUAAAUGCUUAAACUUCAUUUUGCUUUUAUUUUAAUUUCACCCCAUCAUUUUUCUUUUUUUUUUUUUUAACUUUUACACUUUAUCAUCUUUUAGUUUAAUUCUUGUAUAAGUAAAGGUUUAUGGUUUGAACUCUAUACGUGUAUAUGUAUUAUUAUAAAAGAAGUGUGUACGUAUAAUUUUUGUGGCUUAACUUACAUUUGUUUUGAAAAUAAUUUCUAUUAUUUUUCCAACUUGGGAUUUUGUCUCUACUUGAGUAUAAAUUUGUUGAAAUUUUAUUUUAGAUAGAAAUGGAAAAAAUGUCAUGGUGUCCGAUCAAAAUUAUUGUUUUGAAAUUUUUAUUAAGAGUAGUUUUGGAAAUGAUAAUGAAAAGUGAUUGAGGUAAGAGAAUAUAAAUAUUUUUGGAAUAAAUGAGAAGGUGAAAGGUUUGUUUUUUAGAGAGUAAAUUAAAAUUGGAGUUGUUUAAGUCGUUCACAAAGAUCUUGAACCAUAAAAUUCAUAAAUUUAAGGUAAAGGAUUUUAAAUAAAUCUUGUAAAAAUGGAUUUUUGUUUUUAAGUUUUAUACAUUAACCUCAAGAGAUGUUGAAUUGAUAAUACUUACGAUUCUGUUCGCCGCAAGAAAAUGGGAACAACCCGCCGGAGAAUUCAACCGUUCACCAGCGGCACAGAGAACGGCGGCGGCAGCAAUGGUGGACGGCGGAAACUCCAAGAAAUCGAUCACUGAAAGUCAUUCCAAAUCAACAAGAAAAAACAAUCAAAACCAAAUAAAUCGAAUUACAAAAACAAAGAAGACAAAAAAUAAAAAUGUGAUAACAGAAUCGAUUUCAGUUACCGCGUAUGGUGCUGAGAAUGAGAUCGGAAGAAGAUGAGAAUAAGCGAUCAGAAUCAUCGCCGUCUCCACGACCGCCGUCAGCGGCAGAAGAAGACGAAGGAAGAUCGGAGAUGAAGUGGUGGAGAAAAUCGAAAGGCGUGACGGCGCGUAAUCUCCAAUUGAGAAUAGACAUAACCCAAAGCUCCAUUCUCUGAACGGUUUUUGGCUCGAAUACGUACUUAGGUUCAAAGAUUUGAAGGUCCAAAAGCAACGGAACCUCAGGUUCUUCCAUUUUCGCCGCUAAUGACAAACACGCCACCGAUAGAAGCUGAAACGCCCAUCCAUUUCGCCGCUGCAAAUUAAAAAAAAAAAAAAAAAAAACCUAAAAUCAUCAGCCUCCAAAUUCUGAAUCGAUUAUUGAACAAUCAAUGACAUUAAUAGUGGGGAAAUCGAAAAGGUAUCUCAACUGGAAGAAUAUUGGAGGAGAGGAAGCGAUCAAAGUAAUUAACAGAGAGAAUCGCAGUCACCGGUUUGAAAUUGUAGUGGGAGUGAACCUGCAAAACCCUAAUCCAUUGAUAAAAAAAGAAAAAGAAAAAGAAAACAAGAAGAAGAAUGACGAAGAAGGUGGAUGCGAAAUUUGGAGUGAGCAGUACCAUCAAGAUCCAGUUGAUGGAGUCUUGACGGGCAGUGAGGUCGAUGGAGUGGUCACGGCAGCGGCGGAGGUAGUCGAGGCGGGGCAUGUGGUGGAGCUGGGAUUGAAGAAGAGUGAAAAUGGGGGAGUCAUCGGAGAGCGGAAAGUCGGGGGCGGAGGAACAGAGGAAGUGAGAGGAGGAGGAGGAGGAGGAAGAAGCGGGGGAAUGAUGGUGGGGAGAGAGAGACAUUGAGGAAGGAAGAGAUUAGGAGGGGAGAGGCGGAGGAGACGGCAUUGAAGGGUGAGAAAACGGGGAGGGAGAGAGGCGGUGGGAUCGUUGGGAGUGAUGGCCAUCGCUGGAUUUAUGGGUUUGGAUGAAACAUACUCAAUGCUUUGCACUCACACUCUCACUCUUACUCUCACUCUCUAUCUUUCUCUCUCUCUCUCUUUUUUUAAAAUUCUUAUUAAUUAAUUAAUAAUAUUAAUUAAUUAAUCAAUUAUGGAAAUAAAAGUAUUUAGUUAGCCUUAAUUGAGAAAACGAGACUUCUUUGCUUCUAUAAAUAGGUGCAUUUUAUUUAAUUAUAUCUAUUAAAACAGUUUUUUAUUUAAAAAAAAAAGUGAUUUUGAUUGGAAAAUGAAGUCAUUUGUCGGUAGCCAUUCACAAUUAAGUUCUUAAAUUACAUCAAAACAUUUUGUUUUAAAAGUCAAUACCAUCAAAAUAAACAACAAUUUUCUUUUUAGCUUAGGACAAAAAUAUAUAAAUGUACAUUUCAUUAUAUAUCAUCCAAUGCCUUCCACCAUACUAAAAAUUCAUUCAAUCUUAUAAUAAUUUUCCACUUAAGUGGAUAUUUGAUUAUCUCUCAUUAUAAUAUUCAUUUUCUUUACUUUUGGUUACCUAUAAUCAAAAAUAUUAUUUCAAAUAGUAAAAUAUUAUAAAAUUUUAUGUUUUAUAAUUAUUUUAAUUAAUUGUGAUUUUAUUUUACAUAGCUAUAAACUUAAAUUUGAUAGUUAGAAAUAAUUUUAAAUUUGAACACGUUGAAAAAAAUUAAUAUUCUAAGUGUUCGGUAACAGUGAGCAAAAUAAAUACAGUUUAGUUAUGAGUGUUAGCAAUAAACAUGUUAGUGGUUUGAACCUCUUAAGUGAAUAGUACAUUCAUACGGUAUUUGUAUAACAUUUAUACAAUUAAUAUCAAGAUGGUUGGUAGUGUAAAUUUAUGUCAUCCGAAACUAUGUUUAUGUUGACAUAAACUAUAUUAAGAUAUUCACAAUCAUAUCAAAAUUAAUUAAGAAUAUUUAUUAUUAAUUAAACCAACAACCUUCUGUAUUGUAACAAUUAUUUUUAUUUUCUAUAUCUUAUUAUUGACUUUGUGAACUUUGUAUAUAUAUUUUUUGAUGAUUAAAUUAUGUGUGCUAAAAUUUCCCAUAAUACAUUCAAUACCAUAUUUAGUAUAUGUAAAAAAGGGGGGUUUUCUAUACUUACACCUGUCAAAUGAAACAAUUCCUCUUUUGAAUAAUUCAUAAGUUUUAUGUCUUAGAACUUUAUUGUAUUUAGAAGGUGAUGUGACAAUAUAUAUAGAUAUAUACACACAUAUUGGAAAGACAAUUAAUUGCAUGAGGACAUAUAAUAUGGUUCAAAAUUAUAACCCAAGAAAAAAAAAUUGAUUAACUUUGGCCCUUUACUUCAUGUGAUGAACCACUUUUUUUAAUGAGUUGGGAAUGUGUGGGUUCUCUUUAUCUUAUACCAUUUAAAAAAACAAAACAAAAAGUAUCCUAACACCUAUUUCUCGCUCGACGUUGGCAUUGCGAGUCUCUAGUGAGUUUGACCUUAGAUCCACUUCUCUUAGUCUAUUCUCGUUUUUCAAACUGACUUGUUUGAAAAAUCCUCAUAUUAACGUGGUGUUGAACAUAUCAUAUUCAAAUAUCUAAAUUAGUACAAAAAGGGUACAUAGUUAAGUUAAACACCCAGGUAAGGUCAAAACUCUCUUUCGAAUAACAUUUUAUCCCACUUUGGAAGCAUCACAUGAGGCUAUAUUUAUAGCCUCUUUCACUAAUGCUCAUCGUAACGCCAACCAUGUCAAAGCUAUUUAUGUGCUCAAUGUUACAUUAUGCUAGACCAAUUUAGCUCGAUUAUUUUUUUUUGUUGGUAUAUAUUCACUGGCUCAAUUGCUCGAUCUAAGUUUUGAUAUUAUGACUUUUCCUUUUUAGACAUGUGUUCUUUCUCAUGCUUGACGGAUUACCAAUUUUUUUUACCAUAGAAAUAUAUUGUGUUGUGAUUGGUUAAGUAUUGUUUUGAAUUAAAGCUUUAAUACAUAAUACAUAGAAUGAUAAAAAAUGACUUCAUAUGCUUCUUCGUAGACUUUUGGCCAUUAUAUGAAAAAUGACAAGUUUCCACGUUAGGGUAGACGACUUUAAAUGUUGUUGAAGACGUUAUGUUGUGAGAUCAAAUAGAAAACACCCCAACGUUAACUUUAACAAUAAUACAAUGUUUCUAAGAUUUAGCAAAAUUUGAUUAAUAUUCCUUCACUUAAUUUACUCUUUCUCAACAGAAAAAAAAAAUCAAUUCACUUGGGGAAUUAAUUAAAAACACACCCAUUAAUAAUAAGAAACUAAAUGUGUAAAGUUUUUGAGAAUCAUUUAUAAUUUCUCAAUGUAGCAUUGACAUAUUUAACUUUCAUCAUUUCAUUUUAGAUGUUUGUUUGAUUCUAUAGAUUUUAUGGAUUUUAAAUUUCAAACCCAUUUUGGGAUAUAACAAAAAUGUUAAUUUCAUCCAUUUCAACUUACUUCUUAUGUGAUUAAUUAUUGGUUUUGAUAUAUAUACUUUUCUCUCAUUAAAGUUUAGCUAAAAUUGGUGUAAAAAGAAAUUGUGUAUUGAUUGAGUGAAGUUUAAGUUUAUUAAAUUAAAGUACUUUUAAAAGCUACUUUUAAAAUUGUUGUAUUUAUAAUGAUGGGUUUUAAAUUCUUGUCAAGAAAUUAGAAUUAUUCCUUUCCUUAAGACAAGAAAACAUAGUUUUAAUUCUAAAUAAUAAUUUUUCUUUUAUUUUUUGCUAUUUUUUCUUCAUUCAAAUUUAACUUUUAGACAUUUAAUAAUAAAAAUUGAAUACAAUUUAAAAUAGGGUCCGCCAAUCUUCUUUCAAUUUAUUAUUGUUAUUAAUGUUAUUAUUUGUUUUUAUGAGUAAAGUGUUUGAAAUAUUUAAGUGGAGAAGGAGAGGGUAAAGCAAAGCAUGGCUGAAACGUCCAGACAAUGUCAGAUGAGAUUAAUACAACUUUGACUUAGGACAUUAUAUUAAUUAUAAUUAUUUGACCACAUUUUGUAUUUAUUUUUUUUCAUUUUCUAUUUUCUCUAAAGUCUAAACCCCAAUACUAAAUUUAAAAAAGAAAAUCUAAUAUUGUAUUACAGAUAUUUUUAAUUUAUUAUAUUUGAAAGAAAAGGAAAAAAAAGAGGAAAAAGAGAAAAGCCAAAUCUAAGGCAAUUAUAUAAUUAGAUAAUAAAAUCCUAUAUGCUAACCUUUCUAUCUCUCGGUUGCUAUCUUCAAUUAUUAUUAAACAUAUUUGAUAUUUCCCUUUUGUUGUUAACAAAAGAGAAAUUCUCAAUUGCUUUUUGUUUCUCUUUCUUCAAAUUAAAGUCAAUUAGAAGGAAGAAAAGAAAAAGAAACAAAAGAAACAAAAGAAAAGAGUAAACAGAAGGAAUUUAUCUUCACAAUAUAAUUCUCUAUUUUUGGCCAUAGAAAUGGAGAUUCAGGUGUGAAGAUUUUUUACUUGUAUUGUAUAAUGUAUAAUAAGAAUGUAAAGACAGCCUUCAAAAGCUUUCAAAUAGCAACCAAAUCAUUGUGUUAUUUGUUCCUAUACAUAUUUGAUAUAUAUACUUUAACAUCUUCUACUCUUUCAAGUAUCCAAAUAACUCAAAACAAUGUCAAAUAUUUCUUCUACUUUUCCAUCCCUUCGAUUAAGCUCGCAUCUAUAACAAAUAUUUUGAAGUUAAAAUGAGGGGAAGAACCUAUUGAGGUUCCAAGGAAGGGAGUAAAACUCUUCGCUUCUCGUAUCUAGAUUGAAGGAAUAAAACUUCCCCCACCAAUGCCGCCCACUGUCUCGGCGAGUUGCGCUGUGGUUCCUCAUCAAUGUGAUGUCCAAGAAGAAGGCAACCACAGCAGCCACAGUUGCUGGAGAAGAAAAUAUCACUUGCACAAUGUUGUUGAACUACAAUGGCAAAACAGACAAAUAAAAAACAUUGGCACGUAAGGAAUUCAUACAGCAUAUUCUCUGCUAAUCAGAGAUUAACAACAAUGUUAGUUGUUUCUGUUAAUCAAGUUUAGAGUAAAAUUGAGCUCACCCAUCUGGCUUUAGUGUGGACAGGACCAUGUCCAGAAAUGAAAAGAUACUCAUUGAAGUACUGGGGCACAGAGAGGCCCAAGAACAGAGAGAAUCCAAGUACGAACUUUGACCGAAAGCUGUUGAGGUUGCAGAACUGGAGGAACCCGAGACCGGCAGAAGCUGUUUGUUCAAUGAGAUAUCACAAUAAAAGCCUAGAGUUUAAUUCUCUGUAGGAUGAGAUGAAUUGGCUAAACUAACAUUUUCCGUACGCCACCAAACUGGAAAACAUUUGCCCCCACCGUCCUGACUUUCAUUUAUAGCCCAUUCAUGGGGUAAUGUUUGUUUCCAGAAUUUUUUUGCAUAAAAGUAUAUAUGAAAAGUUCAAAAUCAAGUGCCAAAACAAGAAAGUGAUGCAUAAAAAAGCUUCAAGUCCCUCCCUUUUGGGCAUAAUCAGAAAGAAAAGUUCGUAAGUUUCUUUUGAAAUUGUCAUUGAGAACAGACAUGCUAUUGGGAAUUGGUUCAUGUUCUUAAGUUGUCUGUCUUUGUACUGUUUGGUGGUCUCGUUAGUAUUUUACUCAAACUGAAUCCAUAGCCACAUCAAUUUUUGGUUUAGGAGAUUAAGGUUAUUAAGUUAUGAUGGCUUAAAUAAAGAUGACAAAGCUCAGUUGAACUUUGUCUCAUUCAAUUAUUUGUACUUUUGUGGUAGCUCACUCAAACUCAACAGUUGUUGGAGUAGCUGAGAAUUUAUAGUCCAUUGUUAUAUAGAUAAUUUACAAUAAGCAUUAACAGCUGUUAUAAAUUAUGUCAGUGUGUGCAGAAUGAAGUUAUUCACCAUUCUAUUUCGGUAGUCUGGGUUGUUUUAAUGGUUUGUAGCAGGUGGUUUUGGCUUUGACUAGAAAUGUUUUCAUGAUUACAAAUUGAAUAUUAAGAUGAUUUCAAGUUCAUUACUAAGUAUGGCCCAGUCUGAUAAUUAACCACCCUACCCUAUUAUUAAUUUUCUGUUUUUGAAAAUUAAUUUACCAGCUUGUAGGUUUCUUUAUCUUGUGAACUACUUUUAAAUAACAUUUUUUAAAAUUUUACCUAUUAUAUUAAAGUGGUUCUUAAGAUUUUUAGUUUUUACCUGGCUAAGAGUUCAAACUACUUACAAAACAGGUGAAAAGAAGAGGAAUAAACACAGUUUUCAAAAACAACGAGAAGACAAAAUUUACUCCUUCCCAAUCUAUAGCUGGCAGUCUACUAUUUCUUACAUUUUGAUUCGAGCUUUUCUGAACAAGAUUGAUCACAGAACAUUGAAGAUUUUACAAUAGAAAAUAACUUACCUAUGUAGGCAAAAAGGACACAGUACAAAGCUGCCAUUAAUGGUAAGGGAACAGAAGCAAGGACAGCACCAAAUUUGCCUGUUAUCAUGGAGAAAAUAAAAUUGAAAAACUGUGAAGUCAAUAAAAUUAGAAAAGUAAUACCAAAGAUUACGUUGAAAGUCAUUUAAUUGGUAGUUUAAGAUCUUGGAAAGCAUAAUUGCAAAGUAACCAAUGCAGCAAAUAUUGUCUGAACACGGAAGUUUUAGUUCAAAGAUUACCAAGCACGGAGAAGAAAAGCAUGAACCCAGCAGAAACUUGAACAGCUCUCCGGCUUCCAACUCGGGUCAAACCCAACAAACCAGCAUUUUCACUGUAGAGAAGGAUUGUUAUCAAUUUGAAAUCUAAAUCCCAAUGUUGCUUGCCAAAAACAUAAUUUACAGAUUCAAUAUAUGAACUGGCAAUAGUUCAUUUUUCAUAGCUUCGUAAACUUUUAAUAAGUUAAACUGAUUCAUUACGUUUGAUAGACCAAUAUAUUUGACAUUCAUAAAAGAAAAUACAAUAAAAUCUAUGAGACAUCAAAUUAAGAACCUGUUUGACACAACUGAACUUGAAAUUUAAUAAAAAAGAGAGCAACGCAUUCAAAAUGCAAAGCAGUUGUUGGUCACCUAUAAAGCACCAACCCUCUUGGAAUGACAAAGUGCAGGCCUCGUCUAACACUGACACGUUUACAACACACCAUUUGGUGCAUCUAUUAUGUUACCCACUAUGAGCCAGCCCAUUUAAAAGGCAGUGAAAGCCCAUUAAAAUUAACUAUUCAGCCCAACUUUUACAAAACUAUAGGGUUUUACACACUUUCUCCUCACUAACACUCUUUACCCUCAAAACUUAAGUUACUUAUCCCACAGUCUGCCUUUGAAAAAAACAAACAAACCACUAUGCUACCCAGUGCCCAAUUUUUCUUUGCUGCAACUUCAAUUCAAAACUCAUGACAGCAGGCGACUGCUGUGACUUCUCUUACUAUUUUUUCUUUUCCUUUGCCACUUGUUAUUUUUCCUUCUGUUUUUAUUUCUAUUUUUCCUUCCUUUUGUUAAACUUGUGCAUACUUCAAAAUAUGUUCAUAUUUCUGCACAUGCAUACUUCUGCAAAUAAUAAUGUGACCCAAACAUAUCGUGUCCUAUUUUUUUUUUUUUUUAAAUUGACGGUUGUUGUGUCUAUGGCAUGUUGCAGGUCAGUGUUUGUACAUUUAGAGUUCCCAUAUCAUAUCAAGAAAAUGUUCAAUCAGAUUGAGGUGAUAUCCCCACUCAAAUCUGUGAAAAGGGCAACUCCAUUUGCCAGCUUUAUGCUAGCAAUCAUCAACUACAUUUGUUGCUGUUUUAUGGAACGGUUGGCUUGAGAGAAAUAGGAAAGCUUUUAAAGGGGUCGAGAACCUUUAGGAAGAGGAGUGCUCCACAAUGAAGCUCAACAACUCCUCUAGGAAGUCAGUAACCCUAAGUUUUGUGAUUGUCCUUCGCUUUUUGUUCUAAACAAUUAUAGCCAUUUGUUGUCUCGUUCUAUGUUUUGUAGUUAGUUUCUAUAUAGAUCACUUGUAUUCUUUCAUUGGUUCAAUGAAAGCUUAUCAAAGCACUCAUUACUAUGAGAGCAGAGGGCUUGCUUUAGACAUUAUAUUGAGCAAUAGGGAAGGAGUGCAUUUUUUCAAGGUUUUUUCUUACAAUGAUGCGGUGGAUCCAACGCCAGUGCCAAAUAUACCAUCCAGAAAAGUCCCUACUCCCUGUACAUACAUGGAACAAAGAGUAGUUCAUUCUAUCAGAAAGACGUGCAGCAAAAAAGGGCUAUGAUUACAAGAAUUAAAGGAUUUUAAACAACCAGCCAACCGACGCCUCGGCUGAGUACAGAUGGUGGUAUAUGUGUGGCACUCCCAUAUCUUGCAGCUGCAAUGAAUGUUCCUGUAGACUAACAAACAGCAGAAAGAGAAUAUCAAUAUGAUAGCUAAUAGCUUGUUCCAAAACUGAAGUGUUGAUUUUAGAAAAACAUCUCGCUGGGCCGUGAUAAUGAUCCAUCAUCAAAAUAGCUGGUCUCCUAUAACUUGUGAAUUUCAAGGAACAAAGAAAAGUGUUGGAAAUAAAUUAACCUCAAUGAGAGCAACAAAGGCAGAAGCCAUCAUAGAAAAAAUAUCUCCAGCAUCAAAACUAGGACGCCCCCAUUGAAAUGGAUAAGGAAACUUUAUCCUGUAAUUAAAUUGAGUACCGUUGAAGGUAAAUAGAAAACAAGAUUUGCGCCCAACAAACCUUAAACUGAAAGAAAAUUUAAAAGAAACAGGAAGAUUUGAUGUCCAAAUCAGUAUUGUUCACACGCAGAAGUUCACUAUUUUAGGAGUGGAUUUGGAAAAGACAGAAGCUAAAACUCUGGGCCAUAUCAUUUAAGAAUCCAGAAUCCAGCAAGUUAAUUAGCAUACCAGGAGGCAGCACUUAUGAGCCCAGAACGAUCAGUGCGGCAACUAAAUUGAGUACUUGGAGCUUUAUUUUUAUACGCACCAGCUGCAGUCAAUAUCUCUGCAUAUACCCAAACAAUUGCAACUGACAAAAUAACUGCAAAUCGAUCAAAUAAGGCUCGUUUGCCUUUCAUCAGGGGCGGAACGUACUGCAGUAUAUUGGUUAAAUAUUAGUGGGUUGUAAUAUCAUAUAGUUAAGGAAUAAGAAAUAAGAACUUGGCUUAACCGGAAGACUAGGAAGUCCAAGGGACAGUUAAACCACCCACCUGAGAUAAUAAAACCACUAUGACCAACUCUGGAAGACCAAUUUCAACACAGUUAGCAAGCUGCAACCACCAACAGAAAUCAUGUAAAAAAGCUUGUUAUUUUCCAGGGAAAGUUAUUUGUAUCUAAACAAGUUUCUCCUCCCUCGCUUGGUUCAAAGACUGGACCCUCUUGUUUUAUCAUCUAACUUUUUACUUCUUUUUUUUUCAAAUAAAGAUCAUUUGUUUAAGGGUGUUGUUAAUUGUCAUCAUGACAGAGAAGUAUCAGUCUCUCUUACUUGAGGAAAACCCAGUGCAAAGAGACCUAGCCCAGUGAGGGUGACCAGAGGAACUGCAGAUAAAGGGCUAAGAAACCUGCAUUGCACACCAUUCACACAUAUUGUUGGUCAUUUGAAGCAUUCACGAAAAAGAAACCCCAAAUCAAUUUAUUGCAAUCUCUUCUACACAGUAUCAUACCUUGCGACAAUCCUCCACAAUCCCAAAAAACCAAUGAUCAUUGGUAGGAAAGAUGCAACAAUCAAUGCUCCUUGAAGAGCCUUCAUCGAUUCUCUAAACCUCUUGAGAAAAAUAGAAAGAAAGAAACAAAAUCUUCAAUCAAAGACAAAAGAGAAACAAAAAGCAAUCUCAAGGCAUUUUUCUCCUAAAAAUAAAAGUCACCUGAUGAGGGUCAAUAUAGAAAUUAAAUCUUCGAGACAAAGCUACCGAGAUAGCGGGAAUGAUGAAGGCAUACGACCCACCAAUCACUACAGGCAACCGGGUUCCGAACCAAGUUUGUAAUAAAGUAUUGAUACCCGCAACAAACAACAAAGUGUUUAUCAUUUCAGCCUUCUCGACCUAUGAAGAAUACGAGAAAACUGUUCGGAUGAAGAGAAAAUGGAUGAAGGAGAGAUGUUUUGGGAAAACUGAAAUGUGUUCUGGGAAAAUGUUCUUACAUUUCCACCACCCAUCAAAGGAACGAUUAUAGUAGAGAGUGCAACAGUAGUUCCAAGCAUCACAAAGUAGUGUUGAAAUCCCAGAAGUAUGACUUCCGCUGCAGUGAUUACCAAAUUAAUUAGCUCCCAUUUUCAUUUAUAAUUUACAGCCGAUUUAUAUGAACAGUCAAACAUUGUAAACAAGACCACGCUCUGUAUUACACGAGAAAUGAAGAAAAACAGAGAAAAACUUAAAAAGGGAAAAUAAAUCCCUAUUGCUUGGAAUCCACGAAAACACGGAAACCAUAGUUUUACAGGGAGCGAUCAAGAUAUUUCACAAUCGAUUGCAAAGAUAAGCAACUCUUGUCACUUUCUUACUUAUUCUUCGCUACCCAACAAAAUAAGUAAAGGGCUGCCGCAAUCGCCAGAAAACUUUCCGCUCAUUUCCUAAUUGUAACGUUUCAGGCCAGGCAAAAAAAGAGAGGCUAAAAGCACAGAGAAGAAUUGGAAAAAAGAUGAAGAUAAUCGUAUAGAAUAUUGUUCACAUCAAAAUAACAAACUGGGUGUAAACUAUUAGAGAAUAGAACGCGGGAAACGAAGAAAGAUGAAGAAUCACAGAGAGAGAUAAAGAGUUAGAGACGAACUAAAAACAGAGCAUAACAGAGCAGAAGAGAGAGAGAGAGAGAGAGAGAGAGAGAGAGAGAGAGGGAAGAGGGAUGAAGUACGCCAAGGGGGAGAGCUGGAAACGCAGAAAUCAAUGCCGGGAAGUUGCUCUUUGAUGGGAUGAGGUUGAAACUCGUCAGAUUUCUGAGUUCCUCCGGCGGCCAUUACUGUAUGCUCUGUGAAAACUAUGUGGUAUGUGAAUGAGAAUGGUGAUGGAGAGAGGAAAUGGAGAAGGAAAAAGGAAAAGAAAUGGAGUUGGGUUUGUGUUGGUAUGAAUUUGAGGUUCCUGCAAAGGAUGGCACUGACGACACCAUACACAGCCAGAGACUCCGCAUGAAAACCGACGGCGGGCUUUUGCUUCUCUUUUAUUUUUCUUUCUUAUGAAAUAAAUAAAUAAAACUAACUAACAAACAAAAUAUUUACAACAAAAAAACAUUUACUUUUCUAAACUUCUCAAUUUAGUCUCUUUUUCUAAUCAUAAGUUUCUAAAUUUCUCAAAUUAUCUUAUUCAAUUUUUCAAAUUUGAUCAUUCCAUUUCUAAUUUUGUAUAUAUAGUACAUUUAUUUUGUAUUUUUUAGAGUUCAUUUCAUUUAUUCAUGUUGGACUCAAAAAAGUUUCUUGGAUGAGAUUAAAAUUUGAGUAUAGUUUAAAAUUGAUAUAACUAAAAUUAUAGUUUAAUGAAAAUUUAUGAAUUAAGAGUAUUUAUUUUAAACUUUGGGUUAUGUUUUUGUAAUCUUUAUUUCUUCUUUGGGACAAUUGGCAUUCAUUAAUUGAUUGUUUGGAAGUGUAAAGAGAAGAGGAAAGGGGGGAUGACUUUGUGGUAAAGAAAUUUUAUUAUUCUUCAUCAAACAUUUUCAACUUACUCACUCUUUAAAUGAUUGUUAAUGCUUUUCAUUAUAACUAUGAUAAUAUAGAGUUUAACAAAUUUCUAGACUUAAUUAAUUAUUACAAUUUCUCAUAGUAAAACAUAAUUAUUUACCAUAAUAUAAAAAUAAAAACUAUAGGAAAAUGAAUUACAUAUUAACUAAUAAUUAUUAUAUCAUAUAAUUAAUUAAUAUAGUAUGUGUUAUGAGGUCACAUAUUUAAUCCAUCAAGAAUAUCCUAACCCUCUAUAGAAUAAUGUAAACUUAUAGACUUAGUCUCAUUGUUGUUUCACUUUGAGGGAGUAAUUGAGAAGUGUAAAAAGCUAGGGAGGUUGGAGAAUUGUUGAUGGAAGUUGCACCAACCAUGGAUUUCACUAAUUCCAAACUUUUUAAUUAUCAACUUGUGUUGCCUUUUUUGUAUGAUAUCAUCAAAUUUCAACUAUCGUUUGCUUUUAUUAUUGGUCUAAUCAGUUUUCUAAUAACAAAACUUAUAAUUAUUUAUUGCAACCAUCGUUCUCUAGACCUUCGCCCUACGUCUUACUAUACUCACAUAUUAUUUAUAAUAAUGAAUGUUGGAUAACUUAGGUUGUGAAAAUAAUUAGUUGAAAUGUUUUCUAAAAUCAAACCUAGAAAUAGAAUUGGAUUAGACAAAAAUAUAUUUUAAGUUAAAGUCUCUUUCACUUGCCUUCUUUUUCCAAAGUCCAUUAUAACUCAAAAGAGGCCAUGGCACAGAUCAGCAACCAAAACCUAAACCAAGAAAGCCGAGCAUUGUUAAUUACUUUUCUUGAUCAACAAAAUGUACACUAAGUCUUAUUAAUCCCACUUUCUAAUUCACGUUUAAAAACUUCAAAUAUUGAAGGGAACUCGAGCAUAAAUGCUUUCUCUUUGGGAUCUUUUUUUCUUUUGUAUCGUAUGUAAAACAUUAUUAGGGCACAACUGUGAAAAGAGAAUAAGAAAUAAUGAAAUACAAUUAAUUGAUAGGAAAAUUGGAACGGAGGACUAUUUUAGCAAUAAUAAUUAAGGAUAUAGCAACAUUUUUAAAAAAUUGCAAAUAUAGCGAAACUAUAACUGAUAGACUUGUAUCGCUGAUAGACUUCAUAUGGUAUAUCAGUGAUAGACCAAUAUUUACAACAUAGUCUAUCAGUGAUAUAGACUUAUAUCAUUGAUAGAAUUUGACAAAUUUUACUACAUUUCCAAAUUUUUUAAAAUUAUGCUAUAUACUUACUUAAUUUGAAUUUAUCCCUAUCCCUAUUCCUAUCCCUAUCCCUAAUUGAUAUUAUGAUUUAUAUGUUUUUACUAUUAAGGCCCAUGGCCCAUGACCCAUACACAUGUUUUCACUUGAGAAAGUUGCUUUGCUUGUCCCACCAAGAUUGAAGAGUGUGGGCAGAGAUUAUCAAUGGAAACUCUCCAAGAGACCUCCAAAAGUAGUUAGGACCAUAGUUAAGCCUUCCUUCCCCAUGUGCACCAUCGUCGUAUACAUAUCUAGUUAUUGAUAUAUAUGUAUAGAUGAUUUCAUUGGAGGAUCAGGAGACUGGUUUUCUAUGCCUUAAGUUAAGAUUGGUUUUACUAUAAACAGACGUGAAACUGGACAAAGUAGUGAUGAACAUUUUGAAUAUAACUUUGGCUAAAAGAAUGUUUCAAAUUUAAUUAAUAUAGCUGUGUACUGAAUGAAAUUUUAAGAUGUAUUAAUAAUGUUUUAUUACUAAUUAAUUUGAUACAAAAGUAAACAGAUAGUAUAUAUUGAAAUAAUUGUGAUGGGGAGAGAUGGAUGUAAUUCCAUGCAAUUAUACUAAAUAAAAUUGAAAUUUAUUUAUAUAUAAUGUAUUUGGGUAAAUAUUUAUGGAUUAAAUUCCAUGUAGUUGAUCCAUUUAAUUAUAUGAAAUCAAGGAGUGACCAAAUAAUGAAAGGGAAAAGUUAGGUCCACACAUUCCCAUUAUUCUUUAAGUAAGCCAAAGCUUAGUGGAAGUUUGGCUGUCACAUUGUCACCUAGCUUGAAUCAUACUCAUAUAUAUGUAUAUAUAUAUAUAUAUAUAUAACAAAAAAAUUAUACAUAUGAUAAUUAUAAAAUGUGUUUUACAUCAUAAUAUGUAUCAUUGUGUUAUUUUGAUCUCUGUUUUUUCUAUUUUAUUUAGUCAUGAUUGCAAGAGUGUCACAAUGUAAAAAUACUUAUGAAACCGAGUUAUUGAACUAACUAACUAGUUAUAGAAUAGAUAUCUUUGGGAAAUCAAAAUAUUGUGUUGUAAUCAAAAUAGUAUAUUUUUGGUCUUCAAAUCAAAUUAUAGAAAGAAUUCAAUUUUGAUUUCCUUUGUUUUCCUCUCCCUCGAUUGAAAAAAAAAAACAGAAGUUGAAGCCACUUUUGUCUAUAUUGGAGGGCAGAAGUCAAUCAAUUAGUACAAAAGAGAGAAAAGACGUGAGAAAAGGCAAUUAGGAAAUACAAGUAAUUGGAUUUCUUGGAGUACUACUUGCAUUGAGGUUGGGAUAACAUUCUUUUGGAUAGUGAUUUUUGUUCCAAGAUUUCGGAUUUUGAGCUUGCAAAGAAAGUCAUGUGUCGAUGACAGGCGUAAAAGGGAGUACUGUAGGCCGUAGGGUUAUUCAUUAUUGAACCCCAAGUAAUGUUCAGAAACUUUGGUAAGGUUUCUCACAAGUCUGAUGUUUAUAGCAAUGAACCAGUUUGGAGCAAGAAAGAAUUCCAAAGAUAACGAAUGAGUGGAGCAGAUCAGCAGUGAAGAAAUACUUUUUAGUUUUUCCUGAUUGAAUAUAUAAAAAUCUAACACGAAGUGAAAUAGAUAUAGUGGGUGUUGGUGGGGGCAACACUGAGGAAGAAGAAGAAGAAAUAGUACGAAAAAUGAUAAUAAUGAUCGUGGGGCUGCAUUGUAUUCAACAUUGCUCGAUGACAAACCUCUUUGAUAUAGUCGAUAUGUGGUUGCAGUGUUAGUUGAUGGAUUUACAUUACAGAUUCCACCAAAACCCAUAGAGCAGCCUCUACCCAACAUUCUUCUUCUCUUCUUCAUCCAAUUAGGAAUUAAACAGAAGUGCCUAAAAUUGUAGCAACUUAAAAGACAAAUUGUGGCCUUUGCGUUUGUUCUCAUCGAUGUCCUCUCCAAAACCUACAAAGAUUGGAUUAUAUAUAAUACAAAAUAGAUAUCCCCAAUGCUUACCUCCAUGUGUCUUAGUACCUAUAUAUAUGCUUAGUCAGUAGCAUUACAUGGGUAGGAAAAACACCUUCUUGUAAUCUAAAAAUAAAUUCCACAAAAAGAAUUACAAAAUUCAUCUUUGCGAGUUUGAAAUAAUUAAGUAUAUGAUUUCGUUCAUAAAUUCUAAAAAACUAAUCUUAAAUUGAAAUCACAUGGUUAAAGAUAUUUUAGAUAAAUAACAGAAAUGAUAAUUUUUCUCCCAAAAUGAAUUUAAUAUAUUUAUCUUUUCAAUUUCCACUCACAUGCAACCUUUUUCAUUGGCUAUUCACAAGACUCCCUUUUUGUUUGGUUAAAUUACAAAAAUACCUACCUGAUCGAGUGCAUGGAUUACAUCUAUUUCUAUAUGCAAAACUCUUUAAUGAUAGCUUAGUUGGAAGUAAGGAAUUAAAAUUUUUAAAAUUCAAAUUGGAAGGAAUAUUCCCUUACUUAAUUUGCUAACUUUAAAUAAAAAUUAGAAAAAAUAAUGAAAAAAUUGGGGGAUAAAAUAGAAUUUGAAUAAUUUAUAAAAAGAAAAAAGUGAACGGUGGGAUUGGGCGUUGAGUGGUUGGAGUGGGGGCCACACUCCAGUACCAAAUUUGUUGUUAAUAUUUUUAUUUAUUUAUGGGUAAUAAAAUAGAGAAAAAGAAAAAGGGGUCGCACGUGCGGCCUGCCUUCCCAGUUCCCAGAAACUUCUUGCCUAUUUGCCAACCUUUUUCUUAUAAGGUUAUUAAGUUAAAGAAUUUCUCUCCAACCAAGUAAAGUGCCUAACCCUUCAACACAACAUUUAAAUUAAUCUUUUUUUUGCUUCAAUCAUUCAUUUAUAAUUUCAAAGGCUUAUCAUAAUUGUCUUCUAUUUCUUAUGAAUUUAAUUAUUUGAUGUAAACUUAUUGGUGGGGUGUUAAAAAAACCAAUAGUCUAUUGAAUCCAAAUCAUUCAACCAGUCUCAAAUUAUAUGGGUUGAGUUGAGUUGAAUUUUGUGUUAGGUUGAAUUGAGUGAGGUAGUCGAUUGUGCAAGUAAAUGGUCGGAUUGAAGCGGCUCACCUCCUUUUGAUGGAUAUAUAUAGUAGACUUAGAAUUUGAAUGUAUAACAUAUAUGUAUGUAUACAUCUUAAAUGAAAAUUUGUUUCCUUACAUAUUGAAAAACAAUACAAAAAUUUGUCUAAACUGUAUUUUAUAGAUUAGUUUAACUAUUGAACUGAUAAGAUUUAUUUUUCCUAUCAAUCAGAAUACUUUGAUUUGGUUCAUCAUUUUUCUCAAAUUCCGAUUUAUAUAUAUCGUAGAGGUCAACUUUUAUAUCGGAUGUCUAUUUUGUUAUUCCAAAAUUAUCUUCAUUAUAUAUAUAUAUAUAUAUAUAUAGUACUUUAUUAACAAAGAUGUGGUGGUAGUAAUAGUCAAACAAGUCAAAAUUGAAUAUAUAUAGAAAUAAGGAAGAGGGUGGAAUAUUUAUUAAUAUUCCUCAACUAUUGUCAUAUAAAUUUUAACGAUUUUUAUUAUAUUCCUCAAUUGUGUAUAUAUUAUUAGUUUAUCUUUCUCACAUGCUUGACAUUUUCUUUUCUUUUUCCUUUUCCUUCAUUCUUAAGGUAAUUGAAGGUGAGUUGUUGUAAUCAAAUUGAUGAUGUUGUAGCAUUAAAUUGCAAAUAUAUAUAUAUAUAUAUAUAUAUAUAUAUAUAUAUAUAUAUAUAUAUAUAUAUAUAUAAUGUAUUUUAGAUUUUAAAAAAUUUAAAAAAUACUAUUAAGCUUUUAACAGGGAUAAAAAAUAUUCCCACUAUAGUUUUUGAAGGUUAAAAAUUUGUUUUAAAAAAUAUAUAUAUAUCUUGUUAGGUUGGUAGUAUAAAUUUUAUAUCAAUUAAAAUAUAUUUAUUUGUCAAAUAUUCAACAAUGGUUAGCGUUUGAAUUUCUACGAUGAUUGAUUACAUAACUAAAUGCUUUCUAAUAAUUUUUAGUUGACUCAAAGCUACCUUACGAAAGCAAUAUUAAAUGAAAGAACGACCAUAAGCUUGAUAAUUGCCUACAUCUUUUAACUAUUAGAAAAUCAGUUUGAUAGGAUACAAAGUCUUGUUGUUUGCAUUUCAAUUAGAAAAACAAAAAAACAAAAAAACAAAAAAACAAAAAAACCAUUUUGAAAAUAUUUCCUGCUAGACUUUCUUAUUUCAUAAUUUCCACUAAUUUUAUUGAUUCUUUAGCUAAUAUUUAAAUAUACAAAUUAAAAAUAUUGGAGGCCACAACAUUAAAGAUUCAAUUAUAAAAUAAAUAGAGAGUAAAUUAUUGGAAGAAUCAAUUUAAAUGACGGAAUAAAAACUACAUACCAAAUAUAUAUUUACCCAAAAAGGAACUUUAUAAAUAAUAAUAAUAAUGUUGUUUUUAUAGUAAAUAGAAAAGAAGAGAAAAAUAAUAAUUGGUCAAAAUGAGGAAGUGGAAGUGUAGAGAGCAGAUCCUACAUCCUUGUACGCGUUUCCCACGCGUCUCCUACUUUAUUUCCAUUUAACCAAAAUAAAUCUGGACCGUCAAUCGUCACCCUCUUCAACCAAUGAUGUCAUUACGUGUCAAAAUCUUCACUUUUGGUAAACUCCUCAAAUUUAUAUUAUAUAUAUAUAUUAUAUAAAAAGUAAAAUAGAGUUAUAGAGAUAAACCUUCCCGUAUUAGCCGCAAACAAACACAAACCUUCUCUCUCGGUAAUCUCAACUCCGUUUUCGGUUUAUAUAUAUAAAUCCCUCCUAUCCCUCCUCUUCUUCUCUGUCAUUUCUUCUACACCUUCGCUGUCUUCUCUCCAUUCACUCUUUCUUCUUUCUUUUCUUCUCAUCAUCUCUUCGCUUUCUUUUUCUUUUCCUUUCUCCGAAUUUCGGCCGGUUGGCUCGGAUUGGAUUUGGUUUUUUCUUUUUUCGUCUUCGGGACUGAGAUCUGUUUGUUGGUUUUUUUUCAAGAGGAAGGAUUAAGGAUGAGUUAUUAUAAUCAAGGUCAGCCUCCGAUUGGAGUGCCUCCUCCUCAAGGUAUGUUAAUUCGUUGUUUUUCUUUGUUGUCAUUUUGGUGUUGGAUCGGAGGGUUUUCUGAUGUGCGAUUGUAGAUCUGUGUGUUGAUUUAGGGUUUUGGUGGUUUUUUUUUCUAAAGGUUAUCCACCAGAAGGUUAUCCGAAGGAUGCUUAUCCGCCGCCUGGAUAUCCGCCGCAGGGGUAUCCUCCUCCCGGUGCUUAUCCACCGCAGGGAUAUCCUCCGCCUUACGCUCCUCAAUACGCUCAACCUCCUCCUCAACAGCAGCAUAGUAGCGGUCCUGGUUGCUUGGAAGGCUGGUAAAAUUUUCAUUCUCUCUUUCUUGAUUCCUCUUUCUUUUACCUGUUCAUGGCGUGGUUUAAAUCGGACCUGAACUUAGUUGCAUUCCGACGAUUCGGUAUCGGAAACUGAGUUCCGAACGAGUUAAUUGCAUCGUCUGGUAAAGCGUGCAGUCUCGUUUUUUCAUUGGAGACGUUCUUCUUGGAAGUAUCGCCCCGAUGAAUUCCCAAAUUUGACCCCUAAUUCAUUUCUAUAUUACAGUCUUUUUAAAAAAAAUUAUAAAAUUGCGAGAAACCACCUGACCUUUUUUUGGUUAUUGCAAAAUGCACCAAGCACACUAAAGCAAAAGAUAAUUGCAGUUAAUUUAGAUUAAAAAAACAGUAUUUAUUCUUCUUUUUUUAUGGUUUUCAGAUUAAUGUUAGAGAUUCCUGUUCUUUCAAUUUAGGAAAGCAAGUAAAUUAUAAUAAAGAAUUUAGGUCUUAUUUGUAAUUUGGAACAAUUCUAUGGUUUUAGGGCUGGGUUUUACAAUCUGUUAGGGAUGGAUUGAUGUCCUAAUUAGUAUUUACGAAGGAUUUGAUUGGUGCAUCAAAUUGUGAACGUUAUAACAUUCUGGAGCAAAUCUUGUAAUCUAUUUAUUUACCACCAUCUUUGUUAUUAUUAAGCUAGAUUACAGAAAAUACUCAUCUUUUUUAUUUAUUGUGAAAACAUUAAAUUCCUUUUCAAAAAGAGGUUUUAACUUUUAAUAUUAUAUUUACAUCAUUUCAAAACUAUCAUGGAAGUAGAAAUCUAUUAGGAUGUAGAGAAAUUAAGACCUUGAAGUGGUGUCAUAGUGAUCUAUGAUGGAUUAAUUUUCGUACUAAGGGAAAAAAAUCAUGGUAUGUGAGUGAGGAUGAAAUCUUGAGUGAAUAUAAAAGCAAAGUCAAGAGGACCAUUGAGUCUCUCACAAGAAGAAUUCCAUGCUAAGACUUAAUUCUAAAGUGAAGUCAAGAUGAACACGUGUUUGAGGUAAUUCAGAGAGUCUUCAAGUCCAAAUUCAUACCCAAAAAUAUUGUCUUUCUUCCUUCUUCCCUAUUCGCUCUUGUAACCAAACCAACAAGCCUAGAAAACUCUCAGAAUUAAUUACAAAUACACCUUCAAUAUUCCACUCUAACAAUAACAUUUUACAUAUGUAAUGUUGCUAUUUUUAAUAUGGAAGGAGUACUUUUUAUAUGUUUGAUUUAGGUUUUUAAUGAAUACUAAGUUGGGAUAAAAGUGUACUGAAAUUGAGUUGUGUGGUAUUGGAAACUGUGCAGUUUGGCUGCGUUGUGCUGUUGCUGCUUGCUUGACGCCUGCUUUUGAAGAGAACCAAUUUGUAUUGUGGCUGUGCCUUUCGAACUUUUCCCCUAAAGAAAAAAAAAAAAAAAAAAGAACAAAAAAUUUGGAACAGUAUUGGAGUUGUCAAUGAUUUGGGCCUUCAUUGUGAAGCUUUCUUUAAAAUUCCUUGCGUUUAUUAAUUACUGUGUAGUCUAGUGUUUGUUGUUUCUUCCUUAUCUUUUACAUUUUUCUUAUAUAAAUAACCACCAUCUCUUCCCUCUCUUACUCUCUUUGUUGGGUCCUUUCAUUAAUGGCUCUCUUGAAUCGUCCCUGUUCAAUUUGACCCUAGAAAAAGAGACUUUUUAAUCUUUUGAACUAAAAAAACCAAUUCAAACCAAACCGAAGGAGAAGGAGAGUAUACAUGGGGUGUUCGGUUUUAGAGAGUUGAGUUGGUAAUAAUAUAGAAAAGAGAUUUGGGGGAGUUGACUUAAAUAGCGAAAGUAAAAAAGACUGCACAUUGGUAUUUUUAGUGGUUAGAAGCACGUUUUCUAGUGGGCGACGGGUCGGUGGAGGGUAUUAUGGAUGGAUGUUACAUUCGUGGCUCCACAGCAGAAGUCUCAAUUGUUGGCCUCUCAUGUCCUAUUCCACUCAUAUGAAUUUUCACACUACCACCAUUUUCUUUUUUAACAAUUUUGUUGAUAUGUUUCUAUCUAUGUAUCAAUAGUAUCAUUCUGAAUUUAGUCUUUAUACUAUGAAAGUUCAAUGAAAUAUUGUGAUAGUUGUUGAUAUGGUUUGCUUGUUUAUUAUAAUUUUUUUUGUCAUUUUUGCGUUUUGUUUCAUCCAGAUUGAUCCAUUCCAUUUGUUUUUAAAAUGAAAACGGGAUUGAGAUUGAAUAGAAAUCUUAUAAGGAGUACAUUUUUUUUCAUCGAAAUACUUAUUCAUUAGUCAAUAAAAAAUUAUAAUUUUCUGGCCGAUGGAAAGAGAGAGAGGGGAUAUUUUUCCUUUUCUUGUUAUCUGUCUUUUCUUUAUUCUUUCUAAGAAAUAAAUUGUUGUUUGAUACUUCAUUUUAUUUCUUGUUUCCAGAAUUUGAAUUACUCUUAUUUGGGCUUUCAUUAAAAGUGUUAUGGAACAAUGGAAUUGAGUACAUAGAACAAAGUAGGGAGAUCGAAAAAAAAAGAAGUAAAACUGGAUAUAUAAUGUUGCUAGAUGUUAAUGUUUGUUUUGAAUCAACAUUGAAGAUUAUGUACAUUGUUAGUUCUAAAUGGACCGUGUUUUAACCAUUUAUUUUGUUUUGAACAAAAUUAAAUUAUUUUGGUUGCUUCCUUCCCUUCCUUUCUCACACUUCUCCAGACUCUCUUUCUUUUACCACACGCACUUUCAUCGUGGUGCACAACGUUUGUUGGUGAUUUUUGUUGCCGUGGAUUGGUGGUAUGAAAUCUCGUGAAUUUGUAGUGAGUUUUUGGUGUAGAAUAUAUGGAAGCUAGGUCUGGUUGUCUGACUAGGUCAAAAUUUCAUUACCCAAGACUUGAUCCAAAAGUAUAUUUUAAAAUUUUCAACCCAACCGAACCCUUACGAUUUAGGUUGGAUUAUUGAGUUUUUUUUAACGCCCUCUGGUUUUUAUGAAAGCUUCAAAAUUUGAAGGGAUUAUAAAAAUGUUGUAUAAAGUUGAGGUAUUUUCAAUGGUGAAAAUAUAAGGGUUUAAUGUCUAUAUUAAAUAUCCAUGAGUAUCACUCGAUGGAAAUGACUUUUAGGCUUUAAAUAAUUUAGGGUCAAGGUGGAAAUGACUAGCAGUAUACAAAUGUCAGUUAAACUAAGUUCAUGUUGACCAAUUUAAUUUUGUUUCACUUUGUUAAAAACUAAACAAAUAAAUUAAAUGUUUCUUAUUAAUUGUUGACAUUCUUUUUUUCUUUUUACUCCUUUAAGACAUAACCCUACCAUUUUGUUUCUUCUCCUUCUUAACCCUCUCUCCUUUGUUAGAUGUAAUAUACCUUUUCACAACAAACAUAUAUGAUUCUUCCUAUAUUUGAUUCCUUCUAUUUUCAUUCUUUUUAUCGUUCUAAGCACUUUUAUGAUUAUAGUCCAUAUUUCAACGAACCAACAUCGUGACCAGAACCGUAGUCACAUCCUAAUUGCUUUCAAAGGAGUGGUUCAUCUGCAAUGCAACAAUUUGUUUCAACAUAUGUUCAAACAUCUCCAACAUCUUUUAUAAAUACUAAUAAAACAUUUUUUAAAAAAUGACACCUAUCUAAUCCAAUAUGAAUAUGAAUACUAACAACUUGUGAGUAAAGAACAACUUGACUAUCAGUCUUCAAUUUCUUAUAAAAUUCACAACUUACAAAAAUAUCCAUCGAUACACAUUUCUUAUCAAUAUAUUAUUUAAUAUAUUUAGGGGUAACGAUCGACAUCCGAAAAAUUGAUUCGAGCGACCAAAAUUGACCGAACCAACAUUUGAUGGUCGAUUUUAUUAAAAAUACGGUUGGUCACUGGUUUAAUUAAAAUGUUUAAAAAAGUCAACCGAAACUGACAUGUUGAACAUAUCGUUGUUGGAUUUCCUUAAUAUAAACCGACUAGGUCAAUUUUCAGCCCCAGUGUUUUCGACUGAAACUAUUCGCCGAACAUCGUUGUUGGUUUUCCUUAGUAUAAACCGACCAAGCCCCAUAGUCUUUCAGAACCGAUCCUCUCGCUCGACGAUCAUCAUAGAUAUAUUGAUAAAAAUGUUAUCUAAAAAAGGGUAUUUCAUUUUAUUUAAAAAAUAAAUUAUAAUAUAAUAAAGUUAGUUUGAAGAAGAGAAUGAGAAUGAAGAUUCCGGGAGGCAGAAUGCGUGUGUGAUUAAAAUUGGUUUUCACUACCAAAAAUAUAUAAAUUCACAAAUCUCAAAUACCCACACACAGAAUCAUAAUUUUGAGGCCUCCAUUUUUUCUUCCUUUUGCUCCAAAUUUCAACGGAAUUUUGAAUGUUCCAGCCUCCAAAAUCCUAACUCACAUCAUAAUUCCCUUUCCAGGUAUCUCAUCUUUCUCCUUAGAAUUUUAAUUUUUGAUUUGAUUUUAUCUUUUCCAAUCUCCAAUAUUGUAACAAGCAUGUUGAAAUCGUAGCAAUAGGGUUCUUUAUAUUUAACAUUUCCUGCUCACCCCGAUCGUAUGACUUUAAUUUGAAGAUUAGGGUUUGCCCUUAGCCUUUUUGUUUUUUGUUUUUUUUGUUUUUCAAUUCAAUUUGCUUCGUUUCGACAUGGGUAUAUAUUGUAAUCGUUGAAGACGAAAGGUGUUACUUGAUAUUUGAAAUUAUCAAUGGAUUGAAAGGAAGGCUUUAGGGUUACGGUAGGAUUGGAUUAUACGGAAUGCGAAUGAAGUGGGAGUCUUCAUUCCCGUUCAAUUAGGAUAUUUGGCCAUCCAAUUGCGUGGUCACUUUGUCUGCACCGACGUUCCUUCUUAUUAAAUGGGGUUUUGACCUUAUGAACUUUAGGACGUACUCUACUUCAUUCCUUAUGCUUUGGUAGAUGGAUUUCUUAUUUUCUAUUUAGUUUAAGCACAUUUACAGGGUGAUUUGAACUGAUUUGAACCUUUGACCUUUUUAGCGAGGGUUCUGUUGACCUAGGUAGUCUUUUAGUUUAUUUGUAUUUAUAUAUCUUUGAGAUUUUGGCAGGUUUUUGAUGUUCUCUUUUUCCAAUUUGUGUUAUGUUCAACUUUGAAGUCAUAGUUUGUUAUUCUUCGCAUUUGACAUUGGAAGGCUUUGGACAUGUAAACAAAUCUGUUUCUUUUAUUUUCUCAACAAAUGUUUCUGACGUGAAAAAAAAAAUUCCUAGUUGGCCUUGAGCGUGAGCCUUCUUUCUGCUGCUUUUGAUGGGUGCUCCGAAGCAAAAAUGGACUAGUGAAGAAGAAGCAGCUCUGAAGGCUGGAGUUGUUAAGCAUGGAGCAGGAAAGUGGCGGACGAUACUUAAGGAUCCUGAAUUCAGCAGUGUACUGUAUCUUCGUUCAAAUGUUGAUCUCAAGGUAAAUAAUGAUGUUUUAGUAGUCUUGCGCUCACUAUUUCAGAGACCAGAACUUUUUUAUGCGAACUCCUGGUAUUUCUUAUUUUGCCCAAGAAAUUUAGACUGAUUCAUGUUGUCAAUAUUUAAAAAGGACAAGUGGAGAAAUAUGAGUGUCAUGGCUAAUGGCUGGGGAUCUCGAGAGAAGGCCAGGUUGGCACUUAAGAGAUUACAUGCUCCUAGAAAAGACGAGAACGCUGUGGGUCCAAGUGUUGCUGCCCAAAGUGAAGACGAAUUGGCAGAAGCUAAGUCUGUUUCCCUUUCCUCAGAUAUCAAGCAGAUAACUGGUCCAAAGCGAUCUAAUGUAAGGUUGGUCAAAUCUUUUAUCAUUUUUCAUUCCUUCUUCCUUAGUUCUUAUCUCUGUGGACAGGUUCUUUGUAAUUUUGUAAUUGAGCUUUCAUAGAACACUUAGUUAUUUGUUUUCUCACUUAAAAAUAUUAUUUUUUUCUCUGUUUCUUUUGAAAUCUAAGUUCCUUCAUGGUAUUUCUUUUAAGUGUGAAAAGGAAGUUAUUUUAAAUAUCAAAAGAGUUUUGGCUGCUCAUUAGUUUCUUUGCUUUUCUGAACAAGUGAAUCUUAUUCCCACUUUGAACAGAAAGGAAGAGGAGGAGGAAGAAGAAGAAGAAGAAGAAAAAGAAGUAGAAAGAAUAGAAAGGGAUGCAAGAUAUGAUUGCCAUAGGUGGGAAAAAAGGUCAAAUUCCUCAACAUUUUAGUUUGAAAUUACUGCAACCUACAAUAUAGAUAAAAAAAAACCCCAAUUAUUUACUGGUAGGAAAUGCCACUAUUCACUUUGAGAAAGGUGUAAUAUAUUUUAACAUCUGAAAUAUGUAUUUAUGUGUUACACAUUUGGUAGCCAAUAGAGGUUUAAUUUGUUUACUUAUUUAUUCAUAUAAAUUUUUUUGGUUAUUUAUUAUUUUACAGGCUGGACAAUCUUAUAAUUGAGGCAAUUACUACCCUGAGGGAACCUGGUGGCUCUAAUAAGACAAAGAUUACCUCGUAUAUAGAGGUAGUUUUUCUUUCACUCAAUAAAGUUAUUGGAUUUGUGUUGAAGCUCUUCCUUCAAUUUCUCAUCAAUUCAAGGAGAAAAUGAAGGGAGAUGGUUGUUUGGUGAAACCUAUUGAUUUUGGUCUUUUACGAAUUUAGAUUUUGUUUCUUUACUUGAAUAAGUGUUUACAGUUUUCUUCCCUUUUAGUUUAAAAUUUAAUUUGCUUGUUUUUUCUUAAUUGUUAUUGACUCGUAAGAACAAAAAUAGUAGUCAAGAAUUUGAAGUGGUUAAAGUGGAAAAUACUUGGGCUGGGUUCUCUUUUUGCCUGCAGUUUGAAUAUUAUUUUCCAUUUUAGUUAAUGCAAAGAGUAAUUAUUAAUUGGAAAAAGAAAAAAGAAAAAAAUAAAUGCAUUUCUUAGUAUUUAUCUUGGCUGAUGCUUUUGGAAUUAUCUUUAUAAUCGUUCAUUCUAUGCACUUUCAUAUUGGAAUUCUUGUAUUAUGGGUUUAUAUUCAUAAUGGUACGAAUACAUAUCCCUCUCUCUCUGAAAGCAAGGAGGAAAAAGAGACUUCUAUCCAUUGGUAAUUAUUAAUUGUUGGAUCAACAAUGAUAGGAGAAGUUUUUUUGAUUAUAUUGACUCCUGUAUGAUUUACAAGCCUUUUUACCAGUUUAUUUAAUUUGACGAGUUGUUAGUCUCCUAUUAACUGAUUGAUUAAAGUGUCACCUACAAGUUUCAGAAAAUUUGGUACAAUGUCUGAUUACGUUCUGAAAUACUUGUGGCAGUGGAUGUUGUAGCAUUUGUUUCCUCUUUUCAAGCUCUUCACCCUAUUCUUUUUUUACUUACACUCUUUUAAUCAUUUAUGUCCAAUUGAGUAGUUUGAUGCAAUUCCUUCGCUUUUUGGAGGGGCUUCCCUUUGUAAAUUUUCACUUUAUCUAUGAAAUGCAUAUAUGUACAUAUCAAUGAGAACAACUGAUUGGUUCCCUUCUGAUGUGAAGACCUUAAUAUUAUUACUAUAUUUCCUGAAAUUGAACUGUCUGCCUUUCAGUAAGGUUUCACAUAUGUGCUGCCCCUUCUCUUCCCAAUUCUAGCUUUGUAUAAUUGCUAUUCUAUUCCAAUCUGUUGUAAUUGCUGAUGUUGUUUAGUUCCUUUUUCUUUUCCUUCUGUCGAUAGGAUCAAUACUGGGCACCUCCAGACUUCAAGAGGUUGUUAUCAUCAAAAUUGAAGUUCUUAACAGCUAGCCGUAAACUGGUCAAGGUAAGCAAAUCUAGAAUUUCAUUGUUGAUUUCUUAAAAGAAAAGAGUGGAAAACUCCUCUAUGACCUCGUUUGAUAGGGUUUAGGGUUUAGUUGAGUUUCUUUUUGUCCAGGUUAAACGAAAAUAUAGGCUUCCUUCUGUGGCUGCUUCAGAGAGAAGGAGCUCUAUGUUAUUGUUGGAAGACCAGCAAAAAGCUAGUGUAAGAGCUGACAAGGAUGAUAUGUGUAUUCUUGCGAAAGCUCAAAUCGAUCUCGAAUUAGCCAAGAUGAGGACCAUGACUUCCCAAGAGGCAGCGGCAGCUGCUGCUCGAGCAGUUGCAGAAGCAGAAGCAGCAAUUGCAGAAGCUGAAGAGGCAGCUAGGGAAGCCGAGGCAGCUGAGGCUGAUGCAGAAGCAGCCCAAUCAUUUGCAGAAGCCGCAAUGAAGACACUGAAAGGAAGAAAUCUCCCGAAGAUGGUAAAACUCUAUUUUUAUAUUAUUUAUUCUGAUGUUGCAUUAGUAUCUACUUUUUUACUUCGUAAUUCCAUUGGGUUUAUGAGUCAUGAAGUUUGAUCCGUUUAUCAUGAAUUCAUGAUUAUACAGAGGGAUGUAACAAUUGAUAGGACCUGCAUAGCCUUUACUUUACUAAUUGAGUUAGUGUAGUGCUAGAAACGAUUAGGUUCUUAGUUAGAGAAUUGUAGAAUCUCUUUCUCACAUAAAGAAUUUCCUGGCGGAAAUUACAGAAAAAUAUAUAAUAGAAAAUUAUAUAGGUUAAGGACUCUUGUUUCAAUUGAAAUGGUAUUUUCUCUCCACCGGGAGCUUGGAACUUGUGCUCCUGAGGGAGUUAUUUAUUUUAUUUCUAGUACAACAAAUGGCAGGUGUUUGGAAAUUUGAACCAACUCAUAGUUAUGCACUUGAAGCCUCUUUAACAUACUCAAUUGCUUUCAUUUGCUUACAAAAGCCGUGGUUUCCACUAACAAACUCCUUAGCUAAUGACCUCUUAUACACGUAGGUUCCCAAACUGUUUUGGUCUGGGAUUCUCUCAGUCUCAGCAGUAUUGUUGUCAUCUUACCUCUACUUUUGCUCCAUCAUUAUUACGUGACUGGGUUUUCUUUUUCUUUUUUUGGUUUCUUAAUGAAAACAUCUUAUAUUUAGAAUUUUUUGUAUAAGCCAUAGUUUUUUUCUUUCUUGUCAGCAGAUGA
rnacentral:lncRNA from 1 species